rnacentral:rRNA from 1 species
AGAGUUUGAUCCUGGCUCAGGACGAACGCUGGCGGCACGCUUAACACAUGCAAGUCGAACGAGAGAAGAGGAGCUUGCUUUUCUGAUCUAGUGGCGGACGGGUGAGUAACACGUGAGCAAUCUGCCUUUCAGAGGGGGAUACCGAUUGGAAACGAUCGUUAAUACCGCAUAACAUAAUUGAACCGCAUGAUUUGAUUAUCAAAGAUUUAUCGCUGAAAGAUGAGCUCGCGUCUGAUUAGCUAGUUGGUAAGGUAACGGCUUACCAAGGCGACGAUCAGUAGCCGGACUGAGAGGUUGAUCGGCCACAUUGGGACUGAGACACGGCCCAGACUCCUACGGGAGGCAGCAGUGGGGAAUAUUGCACAAUGGAGGAAACUCUGAUGCAGCGAUGCCGCGUGAGGGAAGAAGGUUUUAGGAUUGUAAACCUCUGUCUUCAGGGACGAAAAAAGACGGUACCUGAGGAGGAAGCUCCGGCUAACUACGUGCCAGCAGCCGCGGUAAUACGUAGGGAGCGAGCGUUGUCCGGAAUUACUGGGUGUAAAGGGAGCGUAGGCGGGAUCGCAAGUCAGAUGUGAAAACUAUGGGCUUAACCCAUAAACUGCAUUUGAAACUGUGGUUCUUGAGUGAAGUAGAGGUAAGCGGAAUUCCUAGUGUAGCGGUGAAAUGCGUAGAUAUUAGGAGGAACAUCAGUGGCGAAGGCGGCUUACUGGGCUUUAACUGACGCUGAGGCUCGAAAGCGUGGGGAGCAAACAGGAUUAGAUACCCUGGUAGUCCACGCCGUAAACGAUGAUUACUAGGUGUGGGGGGACUGACCCCUUCCGUGCCGCAGCAAACGCAAUAAGUAAUCCACCUGGGGAGUACGACCGCAAGGUUGAAACUCAAAGGAAUUGACGGGGGCCCGCACAAGCAGUGGAGUAUGUGGAUUAAUUCGAAGCAACGCGAAGAACCUUACCAGGUCUUGACAUCGUAUGCAUAGCUCAGAGAUGAGUGAAAUCUCUUCGGAGACAUAUAGACAGGUGGUGCAUGGUUGUCGUCAGCUUGUGUCGUGAGAUGUUGGGUUAAGUCCCGCAACGAGCGCAACCCUUACUGUUAGUUGCUACGCAAGAGCACUCUAGCAGGACUGCCGUUGACAAAACGGAGGAAGGUGGGGAUGACGUCAAAUCAUCAUGCCCCUUAUGACCUGGGCCUCACACGUACUACAAUGGCUGUCAACAGAGGGAAGCAAAGCCGCGAGGUGGAGCGAACCCCUAAAAGCAGUCUUAGUUCGGAUUGUAGGCUGCAACCCGCCUACAUGAAGUCGGAAUUGCUAGUAAUCGCAGAUCAGCAUGCUGCGGUGAAUACGUUCCCGGGCCUUGUACACACC